CCUGCGUGUGCUGUAGCUGAGCAGGGGCAAUGUAUUUUCCUAGAAAGAAGAACGCAGAUGCUAUAGCUGACUGGUUUUCUUUUCAUGAGUUGUAUAUUGAUUUAUAUUUUAAUGAAACUUUGGCCGGUCUACUAAAUGUUUUAUAUCACAUUGGAAGUGGAUUCCUCUGUGCCUCCUUUUUCCCCUUUGACAUUGAUAUGAUGAAGAGAUCUAAAAGAUUACCUGUGUCCUCCUUCUGGAUUUGGAUGAUCAAUUCUUCAUGGGCAAGCUUUCUUAGAUGAAGAAGCCAGACAUGGAAGACACCAUUGGAAGUAUUUGAUACACACAUGCCUUUCUUUGAGACCAGUUAACAGAUUUUGAAUUCCUUGAGGAACUGGACCACUUCUUCCUUAUUGCUGGGUACCAGGUACCUCGUAUGCAUAAUAUGAGGCAGCAUUACAGCAAAGCCUUCAGGAGUUAUCCGUUGCUCUGAAUAACACCAGAAAGAGCAUCCAGUGGAAAGAUGUUGUGUGACUCUUGGAGUCAAAGGAAGGACUGACCAACCAGGCCAUGGGAAGCCAGCCAGAGCAGCUUGGAAAUCUCGCCACAGGGGUUCUUUGGCUCUGUUGAUGCUACCACCGGAUGAUGAAGCUCCAGCUUCUUCCUUACCCCAUGGUCUUUGCUCAGCAUUCAAAUUCCCAGGAGAACACGGCUUUUGCAGCUUAGGUUACAAGAUACCUCUGGGACCAUUGGCUCUAUCAUGUGGAAGGCGGAAGACAUAAUUUUCCACGGAAAGUGGGGAUACCAGAAGAAAAGGCAAAUAAGUCCUGGAUAGAUCAAAAUUAUAAAUGUUUAUUGGAGUAUGGGAAAUACAGAUUCAAACUGUACCUUUUCUAUCCAUUAUUUGUGUAACUUUAAUUUACUUGAGAUUACUUUCUCCCACUCUAAAAUGAAAAUUAUAUUAGUUUCUUCCUUAUAGUGUUGUUGUGAGAAUUAAAUGAGAUAAUAGAGGCAAAUCUUGGAGGUACUGUGGGUUCAGUUCAAGACCACUGCAAUAAAGGGAAUAUUGCAAUAAAAUGAGUCACACAACUUUUUUUUGGUUUCCUAGUGUG